UGUUAUAAAAUCUCACAUAUGCCCGCAGAACGAGCAGAGUAUUCAUUAGAGACCGAAGUCGACUUUAUCGAAAAUGAAAGUAAUUUUCCUGUGUGCGUUAAUACUAAUUGUAAUGAUCACUUUUCGCUCUGAAAUGAAAGCUGAUGCUGCAGCUGUUUCACCAAAGAGCCUGUGCAGUUGGAUCAUAUCUGCAGUGCAAACGGAGUCAGAUCCAGCAAAGCGCCAAGAAUUGUUGAAUAGCUAUCAUCAAUGCGUUAUGGCAGAGAUCUCCAUCGGUAUAAUAAAUAAUUGGGGAUAAAUAGAUAGGUGGGCAGACUUAGAGUUAAACCAAGUCAGCGUAAAAUCGUGAGUUGUCUGGCUGUCUUGGCUAAAUCAAUGUAAUUCUUUACUGUAAAAUAAAACGAAAUUUUAACAUGCAUCGAA